UAGGGAAUCUUCGGCAAUGGACGAAAGUCUGACCGAGCAACGCCGCGUGAGUGAAGAAGGCUUCCGGAUCGUAAAACUCUGUUGUUAGAGAAGAACAAGGACGUUAGUAACUGAACGUCCCCUGACGGUAUCUAACCAGAAAGCCACGGCUAACUACGUGCCAGCAGCCGCGGUAAUACGUAGGUGGCAAGCGUUUUCCGGAUUUAUUGGGUGUAAAGCGAGCGCAGGCGGUUUCUUAAGUCCGAUGUGAAAGCCCCCGCCUCAACCGGGGAUGGUCAUUGUAAACUGGGGGGCUUGGGUGCAGAAGAGGCAGGUGGACUUCCAUGUGUAGCGGUUAACUACGUAAAAAUAUGGAGGAACACCAGUGGCGAGGCCGGUUAUCUGGACUGUAACUAACACUGAGGCUAGAAAGCGUGGGGAGCAAACAGG
rnacentral:rRNA from 1 species